UACAGAGGGGGCAAGCGUUGUUCGGAAUUACUGGGCGUAAAGGGCGCGUAGGCGGCCCGCUAAGUCGAACGUGAAAUCCCCAGGCUUAACCUGGGAACUGCGUCCGAUACUGGCAGGCUUGAAUCCGGGAGAGGGAUGUGGAAUUCCAGGUGUAGCGGUGAAAUGCGUAGAUAUCUGGAGGAACACCGGUGGCGAAGGCGGCAUCCUGGACCGGCAUUGACGCUGAGGCGCGAAAGCUAGGGGAGCAAACGGGAUUAGAUACCCCGGUAGUCCUAGCCCUAAACGAUGAAUGCUUGGUGUGGCGGGUAUCGAUCCCUGCCGUGCCGAAGCUAACGCAUUAAGCAUUCCGCCUGGGGAGUACGGUCGCAAGGCUGAA
rnacentral:rRNA from 1 species